CACGUAAUUCAUUACGAAGUUUAAUUCUUUGAGCAUCAAACUUUUAAAUUGAAGAGUUUGAUCAUGGCUCAGAUUGAACGCUGGCGGCAGGCCUAACACAUGCAAGUCGAACGGUAACAGGAAGCAGCUUGCUGCUUCGCUGACGAGUGGCGGACGGGUGAGUAAUGUCUGGGAAACUGCCUGAUGGAGGGGGAUAACUACUGGAAACGGUGGCUAAUACCGCAUAACGUCGCAAGACCAAAGAGGGGGACCUUCGGGCCUCUUGCCAUCAGAUGUGCCCAGAUGGGAUUAGCUAGUUGGUGAGGUAACGGCUCACCAAGGCGACGAUCCCUAGCUGGUCUGAGAGGAUGACCAGCCACACUGGAACUGAGACACGGUCCAGACUCCUACGGGAGGCAGCAGUGGGGAAUAUUGCACAAUGGGCGCAAGCCUGAUGCAGCCAUGCCGCGUGUAUGAAGAAGGCCUUCGGGUUGUAAAGUACUUUCAGCGGGGAGGAAGGUGUUGUGGUUAAUAACCGCAGCAAUUGACGUUACCCGCAGAAGAAGCACCGGCUAACUCCGUGCCAGCAGCCGCGGUAAUACGGAGGGUGCAAGCGUUAAUCGGAAUUACUGGGCGUAAAGCGCACGCAGGCGGUCUGUCAAGUCGGAUGUGAAAUCCCCGGGCUCAACCUGGGAACUGCAUUCGAAACUGGCAGGCUUGAGUCUUGUAGAGGGGGGUAGAAUUCCAGGUGUAGCGGUGAAAUGCGUAGAGAUCUGGAGGAAUACCGGUGGCGAAGGCGGCCCCCUGGACAAAGACUGACG
rnacentral:rRNA from 1 species